CUAUUUAACUAGCUUUUAGCCCUCUAAACUGGGUCGUUUUUGUAUCAAAUUCAAUUUAGCUUUGUUUGUCAAAUUUGUCUGGGGGUGCAUAAAAAUCACAGAAAAGCUCCAUUGUCUAUUGAAACGGUGUCAAAUGAUAGCUCUAGUCACACUGGAACAGACCAUGUGUGCUACAUUACUGAGAAUGUUCUAUUUAACUAGCUUUUAGCCCUCUGAACUGGGUCGUUUUUGUAUCAAAUUCAAUUUAGCUUUCUUUGUCAAAUUUGUCUGGGGGUGCAUAAAAAUCGCAGAGAAGCUCCAUUGUCUAUUGAAACGGUGUCAAAUGAUAGCUCUAGUCACACUGGAACAGACCAUGUGUGCUACAAUACUGAGAAUGUCCUAUUUAACUAGCUUUUAGCCCUCUAAACUGGGUCGUUUUUGUAUCAAAUUCAAUUUAGCUUUGUUUGUCAAAUUUGUCUGGGGUGCAUAAAAAUCGCAGA
rnacentral:lncRNA from 1 species